rnacentral:rRNA from 1 species
GGCCCGCACAAGCGGUGGAGUAUGUGGUUUAAUUCGAAGCAACGCGCAGAACCUUACCAACCCUUGACAUCCUCGGACCGCCAGAGAGAUCUGGCUUUCACUUCGGUGACCGAGUGACAGGUGCUGCAUGGCUGUCGUCAGCUCGUGUCGUGAGAUGUUCGGUUAAGUCCGGCAACGAGCGCAACCCACAUCCUUAGUUGCCAGCAGUUCGGCUGGGCACUCUAGCGAGACUCCCGGUGUUAAACCGGCGGAAGAUGGGGAUGACGUCAAGUCCUCAUGGCCCUUAUGGCUGGGGCUACACACGUACUACAAUGGUGACUACAGAGGGCAGCGAGACCGCAAGGUGGAGCCAAUCCCAAAAAGGUCGCCUCAGUUCGGAUUGGAGUCUGCAACUCGACUCCAUGAAGUUGGAAUCGCUAGUAAUCG